rnacentral:rRNA from 1 species
UGAACGCUGGCGGCAGGCCUACCACAUGCACGUCGAGCGGAUGAAGGGAGCUUGCUCCUGGAUUCAGCGGCGGACGGGUGAGUAAUGCCUAGGAAUCUGCCUGGUAGUGGGGGAUAACGUCCGGAAACGGGCGCUAAUACCGCAUACGUCCUGAGGGAGAAAGUGGGGGAUCUUCGGACCUCACGCUAUCAGAUGAGCCUAGGUCGGAUUAGCUAGUUGGUGGGGUAAAGGCCUACCAAGGCGACGAUCCGUAACUGGUCUGAGAGGAUGAUCAGUCACACUGGAACUGAGACACGGUCCAGACUCCUACGGGAGGCAGCAGUGGGGAAUAUUGGACAAUGGGCGAAAGCCUGAUCCAGCCAUGCCGCGUGUGUGAAGAAGGUCUUCGGAUUGUAAAGCACUUUAAGUUGGGAGGAAGGGCAGUAAGUUAAUACCUUGCUGUUUUGACGUUACCAACAGAAUAAGCACCGGCUAACUUCGUG